rnacentral:rRNA from 1 species
CCGACUGCUAUCAGAGUGGGACUAAGCCAUGCGAGUCGGCAUAGCAAUAUGUGGCAUACGGCUCAGUAACACGUAGUCAACAUGCCCAGGGGACGUGGAUAACCUCGGGAAACUGAGGAUAAACCGCGAUAGGUCAUCACUUCUGGAAUGGGUAAUGACUUAAACCUAUAUGGCCCCUGGAUUGGACUGCGGCCGAUCAGGCUGUUGGUGAGGUAAUGGCCCACCAAACCUGUAACCGGUACGGGCUCUGAGAGGAGGAGCCCGGAGAUGGGCACUGAGACAAGGGCCCAGGCCCUAUGGGGCGCAGCAGGCGCGAAACCUCUGCAAUAGGCGAAAGCUUGACAGGGUUACUCUGAGUGAUUUCCGUUAAGGAGAUCUUUUGGCACCUCUAAAAAUGGUGUAGAAUAAGGGGUGGGCAAGUCUGGUGUCAGCCGCCGCGGUAAUACCAGCACCCCGAGUGGUCGGGACGUUUAUUGGGCCUAAAGCAUCCGUAGCCGGUUCUACAAGUCUUCCGUUAAAUCCACCUGCUUAACAGAUGGGCUGCGGAAGAUACUAUAGAGCUAGGAGGCGGGAGAGGCAAGCGGUACUCGAUGGGUAGGGGUAAAAUCCGUUGAUCCAUUGAAGACCACCAGUGGCGAAGGCGGCUUGCCAGAACGCGCUCGACGGUGAGGGAUGAAAGCUGGGGGAGCAAACCGGAUUAGAUACCCGGGUAGUCCCAGCUGUAAACGAUGCAGACUCGGUGAUGAAUUGGCUUAUUGCUAAUUCAGUGCCGCAGGGAAGCCGUUAAGUUUGCCGCCUGGGGAGUACGGUCGCAAGACUGAAACUUAAAGGAAUUGGCGGGGGAGCACCACAAGGGGUGAAGCCUGCGGUUCAAUUGGAGUCAACGCCGGAAAUCUUACCGGGGGCGACAGCAGAGUGAAGGUCAAGCUGAAGACUUUACCAGACAAGCUGAGAGGAGGUGCAUGGCCGUCGCCAGCUCGUGCCGUGAGGUGUCCUGUUAAGUCAGGUAACGAGCGAGAUCCCUGCCUCUAGUUGCUACCAUUAUUCUCAGGAGUAGUGGAGCUAAUUAGAGGGACCGCCGUCGCUGAGACGGAGGAAGGUGGGGGCUACGGCAGGUCAGUAUGCCCCGAAACCCUCGGGCCACACGCGGGCUGCAAUGGUAAGGACAAUGAGUUUCGAUUCCGAAAGGAGGAGGCAAUCUCUAAACCUUACCACAGUUAUGAUUGAGGGCUGAAACUCGCCCUCAUGAAUAUGGAAUCCCUAGUAACCGCGUGUCACUAUCGCGCGGUGAAUACGUCCCUGCUCCUUGCACACACCGC